UAGAGCUCCACACCCACACUUUCUCGCCUGGUUGAUAGGUGACGGAUCGGUGUCGCAGAUUAUGACGUACGUCGUAAUUCCGCUGCCGGGUGAUUCCAACGCGCGCAAGCUACCUCGCUUCUUCAGCUCGUUGAGUAAAGGCUUCAGCGUUCGCGUCUGUAUCAUUGCAGUCAUGCACUAACAUGGCGUCAAUCAUCGUCGUCACUUCACGGCCAUGAAGAAGACUAAAUGGCAUUUACAGUAUUUAUGAC
rnacentral:lncRNA from 1 species